rnacentral:rRNA from 1 species
CUACGGGUUGCUGCAGUGAGGAAUAUUGCACAAUGGGGGGAACCCUGAUGCAGCAACGCCGCGUGGAGGAUGACGCAUUUCGGUGUGUAAACUCCUUUUAUAUGUCAAGAAAAUGACGGUAGCAUAUGAAUAAGCACCGGCUAACUCCGUGCCAGCAGCCGCGGUAAUACGGAGGGUGCAAGCGUUACUCGGAAUCACUGGGCGUAAAGGACGCGUAGGCGGGUUGGAAAGUCAGGUGUGAAAUCCUACAGCUUAACUGUAGAACUGCGCUUGAAACUUCUAAUCUAGAGUAUGGGAGGGGGAGAUGGAAUUAGUGGUGUAGGGGUAAAAUCCGUAGAUAUCACUAGGAAUACCUAAAGCGAAGGCGAUCUCCUGGAACAUUACUGACGCUAAGGCGUGAAAGCGUGGGGAGCAAACAGGAUUAGAUACCCGGGUAGUC